ACUAUAGUUGCUUCAAUGGCCGGAUGAAGCGUCUCAAAGGACAUCGAUUGAAAUACUGUCAGAAAGAUCCGGAGGGCAGACGAUGCAGCGCAGGUGCACCCGGUUGGAGGCAAGGGCCGAAGAUAGACCAACAAACCCAGAUGCCUCACCAACUGUACUGACACAACUUCUUUACCAAACACCUCCUGAAGCAGACCACUCCAGGCACAUAAGCUUAUGGGAAGGCUGGAGUUCUGUCCGAGCUGCUGGAUGAGAAGAGGAGGAAGUGGCCCACCAUGCUGACCUGAGCGCUGGGGUGGAACACUUCCUACAGCUUAGUGGAGUUUGAGCCCUGGUAUCUGCAACCUUCCAACAUUCACUGCAUUGGUCAGUCACCACGUUGGUAUGCUAGGACCCGACAACCUCUUCACAGGCCGCUGAGAUAAGCCAACCGUCUGUGGAUAUUUUGGUGUCUUUGUAACUGCAACAUGAAUUAAAAACGAUGUCAAAGUGUGUAA